CCACCUGGUGAGGGAGGAAAGCCUGGAGAUCAGGGUGUUCCUGGAGAGGCUGGACUUGCUGGUGCCACUGGACCUAGAGGAGAACGUGGUUUUCCCGGCGAGAGAGGAGCCGCUGGCCCUCAGGGUCUGCAGGGACCCAGAGGUCUGCCUGGAACUCCUGGAACUGACGGACCCAAGGUGAGCC